rnacentral:rRNA from 1 species
UCGGGGUACUCGAGCGGCGAACGGGUGAGUAACACGUGAGUAAUCUGCCCUUGGCUUCGGGAUAGCCACCGGAAACGGUGAUUAAUACCGGAUAUGACUGCCUCAUGCAUGUGGGGUGGUGGAAAGUUUUUCGGCCAGGGAUGUGCUCGCGGCCUAUCAGCUUGAUGGUGAGGUAAUGGCUCACCAUGGCUUCGACGGGUAGCCGGCCUGAGAGGGUGACCGGUCACACUGGGACUGAGACACGGCCCAGACUCCUACGGGAGGCAGCAGUGGGGAAUAUUGGACAAUGGGCGGAAGCCUGAUCCAGCAACGCCGCGUGAGGGAUGACGGCCUUCGGGUUGUAAACCUCUUUCAGUACCGACGAAGCGCAAGUGACGGUAGGUACAGAAGAAGCACCGGCCAACUACGUGCCAGCAGCCGCGGUAAUACGUAGGGUGCGAGCGUUGUCCGGAAUUAUUGGGCGUAAAGGGCUCGUAGGCGGUUUGUCGCGUCGGGAGUGAAAACCAGGUGCUUAACACCUGGCUUGCUUUCGAUACGGGCAGACUAGAGGUAUUCAGGGGAGAACGGAAUUCCUGGUGUAGCGGUGAAAUGCGCAGAUAUCAGGAGGAACACCGGUGGCGAAGGCGGUUCUCUGGGAAUGACCUGACGCUGAGGAGCGAAAGUGUGGGGAGCGAACAGGAUUAGAUACCCUGGUAGUCCACACCGUAAACGUUGGGCGCUAGGUGUGGGGUCCAUUCCACGGAUUCCGUGCCGCAGCUAACGCAUUAAGCGCCCCGCCUGGGGAGUACGGCCGCAAGGCUAAAACUCAAAGGAAUUGACNGGGGGCCCGCACAAGCGGGCNGGAGCAUGNCGGAUUAAUUCGAUGCAACGCGAAGAANCCUUACCCUGGGKUUKRCAUACACCCUGCCGCUCCAGAGAUGGGGCUUCUUUUGGGGGUGUACAGGUGGUGCAUGGCUGUCGUCAGCUCGUGUCGUGAGAUGUUGGGUUAAGUCCCGCAACGAGCGCAACCCUCGUUCUAUGUUGCCAGCACGCCCUUCGGGGUGGUGGGGACUCAUAGGAGACUGCCGGGGUCAACUCGGAGGAAGGUGGGGAUGACGUCAAGUCAUCAUGCCCCUUAUGUCCAGGGCUUCACGCAUGCUACAAUGGCCGGUACAAAGGGCUGCGAUCCCGUAAGGGGGAGCGAAUCCCAAAAAGCCGGUCUCAGUUCGGAUUGGGGUCUGCAACUCGACCCCAUGAAGUCGGAGUCGCUAGUAAUCGCAGAUCAGCAACGCUGCGGUGAAUACGUUCCCGGGCCUUGUACACACCGCCCGUCACGUCACGAAAGUCGGCAACACCCGA